GUAUGAAAAGGGUAUGGGAAAGGUGGCUGUGGCGAGUUGCUGCUCAGUUUGUGGAGGGGAGUGCCCACGAAGGGUACCUGCAGAGAUUCUGCUCUGGAUGUUGCAGCAGUGUCAGCUCUCCUGGUAUACACCCUCCUUAGAAACAUCAAGGAUUGAGUUACAGUAUUGUGUCUAGUUGUUAACUCAUUUGCAAGUUACAGGGACUCUGGGGACUUCGGUUAUAUUUAGGCAGUCUAUGCCAGUGAUUGACUGAGCUUAGUAUAGUUUUCUCUUUGCCAAACUCUUGAAAGUUUUUGCACUUUUUUCUUCUUCUUCUUCUUUUCUUUCAUUUUUUAAUGGGGACAUUCGUGUGUCCCUCAUGUUGUGUACAGUGAACCCACCGCAUGCCCUGGAGGUCACUUAUGUGUGUGUGUUUAGAUGUGUCACUGCCAUCCGCAGCACCACAGCACCUACCACAUCCCAUCAGGCUCAUCAAAGAUAACUUUGGCUUUCUUCUCUGUUCUCUUACCCCAUUUUUCAUGAAAAUAUCAUUUGGCCUAUUAAAGUCAAUUAUUUCCUUCUCAUGGUAAAACCCUAUUUCAAUUCAAAGGGAUUCAAAGGCAAGACAGCCUGGAUGAAAGCCCUGCAGAAUGAGUAUUAUCAGAAUGAGUAUAAUCUGGAAAAUUUUUCUCAAUGAAUGAAAUGGGUAUGAUAACACUUGUUACAUUUGCCUGGCUUCCCAGGAGUGCACAUACAUUGCAGAACAGAAUCAAAAUUCAACCAAAUCUUGACAGACUGGAGAAGUGGUCUGGAAAGGAUUAAAUGCAAUUCAAGAGAGAGAGCUGUGAAGUACUAUGCUCAAGUAAGUAUAAUUAUCCUCAUAGAUGUGGGCUUAAGUAUCACGUUUUCAGAAAGAGAGGCUGGAGGAAACCAAAUGAGUCAGCAACAACACAUGAAAACAGCAGAAAAUACACGAGCUGGUGUGAUCGAAAACAGAGGAAUGAAGUAAUUCUCUCGCUGUGGUCAGGGUCAGCAAGGCCUCUGACAACGGAGACGCCAUUUGACCAUUUGAAAGAGACUAUUUGGUGAAAGUCUUGUGAAGAGCAACAAGUCUGAUCAGAAGGCUAGAAAACUGGAAAUUAAGGAAAAGGUAGGAGGAACUGAAAUCCCUUUGCUUGAAGGAGAGAUCAAGAGAGGAUAUAAAAGUGGUCCUGAAGCCCUCUUCUUGACCUCCGUGUUGCACAAGGAGUCAUGAACUUAGACUGCGGAAGAGAAGAUCUAAUUUAGGUAGGGAACUAGCAGCAGCAAGGAAGAAGCAAGUUUGGAAAAAAUCUGAGGAACAGCAAAAUAGUGCUUGAGUGAGACAGUGUUGAGUGAAUCGAGGCUGCUUUAAGCUUAGAAAGUAUCUGUAGGGCUUUGAAGAACAGAGCAGACAAGUAGCUAUUGGGAAUGACACAAGAAUAGUUGCUUCUGUCU
ensembl:lncRNA